rnacentral:rRNA from 1 species
UACAGAGGGUGCGAGCGUUGUCCGGAAUCACUGGGCGUAAAGGGCGCGUAGGUGGCGCGGGCAGUCAACGGUGAAAGUUCGGGGCUCAACCCUGAAUCGGCCGUCGAUACUCCCGUGCUUGAGCACUGUAGAGGCAGAUGGAAUUCCGGGUGUAGCGGUGGAAUGCGUAGAGAUCCGGAAGAACACCGGUGGCGAAGGCGGUCUGCUGGGCAGUAGCUGACACUGAGGCGCGACAGCGUGGGGAGCAAACAGG